rnacentral:rRNA from 2 species
GGAGGUUGAGGCGAUGAAGGACGUGGCGUGACUGCGAAAAGCCUCGGGGAGGUGUCUAGCAACCUUUGAUCCGGGGAUUUCCGAAUGGGGAAACCUAAUUUUGCGAUAAGCGAAAUUAGUCCCGUCGAAUGGCGGGACAGCAUACCCGCUGAAGUGAAACAUCUCAGUAAGCGGAGGAAAAAGAAAACAAAUGUUUAUUCCCUGAGUAGCGGCGAGCGAAAAGGGAAGAGCCUAGAUCGAGCAUAUAACUUGUUAUGUGCUUCGAAGUUGAUAAGAGAGAGGCGUUCCAAGGCUUUCGUCUUAAGUGAAAACUUUGGAAGGAGUGAAAAAAUUGACGGUUAGACGAAAUACUCUGGAAAGAGAUACCAAAGGGGGUAAUAGUCCCGUAGUCAAAAACCGAGCAAUCUCUUAGUCUCUUUUCUUAAGUACCACGGGAAAAGAAAGUCCUGUGGGAAGCAGGGUCGACUAACGACCCAAGGCUAAAUACUCAACCUCACCAAUAGUGAACCAGUACCGUGAGGGAAAGGUGAAAAGUAGGGAGGUGAUCCCGGUGAAAUAGAACCUGAAACCAUCUCGCUCACAAAAAGUCGGAGCCCGCAAGGGUGACGGCGUACUUUUUGGAGAACGAACCAACGAGUGUCCCGCACCAAUUUGUCUAAGCGCUUCUAGCGCGAAAGCAAAGGGAAACCAAGUCUUAAAAGGGCAUAUUAAAUUGGUGUGGAACGACCCGAAGCCAAGCGAGCUUGCCAUGGCCAGGGUGAACUUCGUCGAAAGACGAGGGGAGGCCCGAACCCGUGAGCCGUGCAAUACUCUGGGAUGAGCUGUGGCAAGAAGAGAAAACCUAAACGAGCUUGGUGAUAGCUGGUUCUCCCCGAAAUAGUUUUGGGACUAGCGCCCGCCAGAAUUUUGUUUUCCAGAGGUAGAGCACUGGAAAGAAUAUCGUGGAGCAAUCCAGGCAUUCUUACCAAACUCCGAAUGCUGGAAAAUUUAGACGGGUAGUUAGACUAUGGGGGCUAAGCUCCGUAGUCAAAAGGGGAAAAGCCCAAAUCUUCAUCUAAGGUCCCUAAACUGAGCUAAGUGUUUCAAAGGAAGUGGAAUUCCAUUGAUAGCUAGGAGGUUAGCUUAGAAGCAGCUACCCUUUAAAAAGUGCGUAACAGCUUACUAGCUAAGGGAUUCUGCACCUAAGCAUUUAUCGGGGCUAAGCUCAGUACCGAAGAUAAGGCUGAGCACAUAAUUUUUUAUGUGCUCGGGGUAGGGGAGCGUUCUUAGCGCAGCGAAGUCAAACUGUGAGGUUUGAUGGAGCGCUGAGAAGUGAGAAUGUUGGUAUGAGUAACCGCAAUAGCAGUGAAAACCUGUUACACCGAAAACCUAAGGUUUCCUUGGCAAUGGCGAUCAUCCAAGGGUUAGGCGAUCCUUAAGCAAACCCGAAAGGGGUAGCUGAUGGACAGCCGGUUAAUAUUCCGGCCCUCCCGUUAGAUAAACUUCAAAUGACGCAGUCAAAAUCUUUGGAAGAGUUAUUGGAUUCUGAGGUGGGUUUAUCCUGCCGUUCCAAAGGUUAGAUUGCCCAGAAAAGUUUGAAAUAUACUAUCUAACGGGAUCCGUACCGCAAACCGACACAGGUAGGUCGGCGUAAGAGUGCCAAGGUGAACGGGUGAAAGCUCCUGAAGGAACUCGGCAAAAAAGUGGUCGUAAGUUCGCGAUAAGACCUACCCAGUUUAUCUGGGUUGCAACAAAAGACCCCUAGCGACUGUUUAUCAAAAACACAAGUCCCUGCUCAACUCGUAAGAGGAUGUAUAGGGGCUGAGGCCUGACCAGUACCUGUGUGUUAAAGUUGCCGGUCCAAGCACAUAACUUGUUAUGUGCUCGGGCUGAGUGGCUUAAGCCACAGGCUAACGUCCGCAGUAACUAUAACUGUGUUAAAGUAGCGUAACCCCUUGCCACGUAAGUUGUGGCCCGCAUGAAAGGUUUAACGACUAGGGGACUGUCUCCAGGAGUUACCCGGUGAAAUUGCAAUAAGCGUGAAGAUGCGCUUUACCUGCGGCUAGACGGAAAGACCCCGGGAGCUUUACUGUAGGGUGGUAUUGAAUUUUGGGUUUUGAUGCGUAGCGUAGUGGGGAGGCUUUGAAGUUCUGGUUUCGGCCAGAACGGAGCCGCCAAUGAAACACCCAUCUUUGAAACUCUUAGUUCUAAUCUCGCGUUAAAGGCGGGAGACAGUGCUACUCGGUCAGUUUAAGUGGGGCACUUGCCUUAAUUUAUGGGGCCAUUUGAGAGGAAUCUCAAAUGCAAACUCGACUAAUAUGCUGGGACAUCUGGAGUACUUAAGGAGUAAUCCAACAAGUGAAACCAGAUAAUCAGCAGGGAAAUCAUUUUUAAAGCGAUACCCUCAACGACUGUACGUCGAGUCCCCGUGAGAUAUGAAAUUAUCACACGGGGUAGUGAUACAGUCUGAACUUUAGGGCGACCUAAAGAUUCGGUAAAGUUAGUUUUAGUGCCCACUAACUAACCCGAAACUUAGAGCUCAAAAAUUUAUGAGGAGUAGAGAAAUAGAGGAAUACAAGAGUAAACUUUCUCUAAGUGAGAGACAAAAAGAAAUAUUGAUUGGAUUGAUUUUAGGAGAUGGCCAUCUGGAGAAACUUUAUACCCCGACACUAGGAAGGUUAAAAGUAGAACAUAGUUACAAACAAAAAGACUAUGUAGAUUGGCUUUACGAAGAAUUCAGAAAUUGGGUAAGGAGCAAACCAAAAUCAAAGAGAAAGAAAGUUUGGAAUAAAACUUACCUGAAUUAUGGAUUCCUUACUUAUGGACAUAGAAUGUUAGGAGAGUUUCAAGAAAGGUUUUAUAGGAAUAGAAAGAAAAUCGUACCCAAAGAGUUAGAAAAAGAUAUUACUUCUUUAGGAUUAGCGAUUUGGUUUAUGGACGACGGUUCGAUUAAAUCAAGAAGACAUAAAGGAUUAUUCUUGAAUACUCAGGACUUUAAGAAAAGCGAUGUCCAAAAACUUCAGCAAAUACUUAAAAAGAAAUUUGAUCUAUCCAGUUCAACAAGACAAGACGAGAAAGGAGAGCAGAUAUAUCUAGGAGGAAAAUCGGCAGAAAAAUUUAUUGGGAUAAUAAAAUCUUAUAUAAUUCCUUCAAUGGAAUAUAAAAUCCCUAGAGCUUUAAAAUUAACAAAAUUGCCUAAAAGGUAAUGGAGGCGUUUAAAGGUCGGCUAGCUCCGGAUGGAAAUCGGAGUGGUCGGGCAAAGCCAAAAGCCGGCUUGACUGCAAGGCAAAUAUGCCGCGCAGAGAGGAAACUCGAACUUAGUGAACCGACGGAUUUUAGUAGAAAAUCCGAAGAUCAUCAGCCAAAAGUUACCCCGGGGAUAACAGGCUAGUAGGGCCCGCGAGUCCUCAUCAACGGCCCUGUUCGGCACCUUAACAUAUCGGGGUGCUACAGUAGCAAUACUGUAUUCCGUUUAAAGCGGAACGAAAAAACUGACUUAUAACGGUGGAAUCCAUAUGUUAUGAUAAAUAUAUGGACAAUACCGUGGGAAGUUUAACCCAAUACCAAAAAUCACUAAUUAUUGGGACAAUGUUGGGUGAUGGAUAUUUACGUAUAAUUCCAGGAAGAAGGAAUGCCUUUCUAGAGAUAAAUCAUUCUUUNNNNNNNNNNNNNNNNNNNNNNNNNNNNNNNNNNNNNNNNNNNNNNNNNNNNNNNNNNNNNNNNNNNNNAAGAAAAGGCAAUGGGAACAGAAUUGCAUAUCGAUUUUAUACAAAACAAUAUCCAGAACUCACUGAGCUUUAUAACAAAUUUUAUAAAAACGGUUAUAAAAUUGUUCCUGAUAAUUUAAAACUCGAUGCCGUUGCAUUAAGCGUGUGGUUUAUGGACGACGGAAGUAGAUGCGGAAAUUCAAAUUUUUAUCUUAAUACUCAACAAUUUAGCAAAGAUCAUCAAAUAAAAUUGUUGAAUUAUUUAGAAAAGAUUGGUUUAAAGGCAAACUUAAAUAAAGAUAAAAAUUAUUACCGCAUAAGAUUUUUUACUUCUUCAAUUAAUAAAUUAAAGGAGUUAUUAAGAGAAAAUUUAAUUCCUUCGAUGUAUUAUAAAAUUGGGUUAUAACCUCGUAGAGACUUGACUUUAAUAGUCAGAGUCCUUCAAAUUUAUUGAGGGGCUAACACGUCAGCUCUCGCAAGAUGCGAGAUGAAGAUAUAGUCCGAUCCUCCAAGUAAUUGGAGAAAAAUACCGACAUUGCGAUGUCGGCUCAUCACAUCCUGGAGGUGAAGUAGCUUCCAAGGGUUGGGCUGUUCGCCCAUUAAAGUGGUACGUGAGCUGGGUUCAAACCGUCGUGAGACAGGUUGGUCCCUAUCUACCGCAGGCGUAGAGUCUUGAGAGGGGUCGUCCUCAGUACGAGAGGACCAGGAUGAACUGACCUCUGGUCUACCAGCUGUUCUGCCAAGAGCAUCGCUGGGUAGCUAAGUCGGGAACUGAUAAGCGCUGAAAGCAUCUAAGCGCGAAGCAGGCCUCAAGAUUAGGACUCAUAGAUUCCUCAGAGAUUAUGAGGUUGAUAGGCUGCAGGUGUAAGGCGGGUAACCGCUUAAGCCGAGCAGUACUAAUAAAUCAUCAGCCUUCUUG